UCCUUACUCAAUCAGGCUGUGGUGUCGACUGCGAGACACUGUUCUCAGCAUUUAAUCAUUGCAAGCAUCACAACCUCCUUGAGUGAGUGA
rnacentral:pre_miRNA from 1 species